GGAGGAAAGAACCCAACAGGGAUUGCCCCAGUAACGGCGAGUGAAGCGGCAACAGCUCAAAUUUGAAAUCUGGCCUUCUGGUCCGAAUUGUAAUUUGUAGAGGAUGACUUUGGUUAGGUACCUUUCGAGUUCCUUGGAACAGGACGCCUUAGAGGGUGAGAGCCCCGUACGAUUGGAUGCCGAGCCUUUGUAAGUCUCCUUCGACGAGUCGAGUAGUUUGGGAAUGCUGCUCUAAAUGGGAGGUAAAUUUCUUCUAAAGCUAAAUACCGGCCAGAGACCGAUAGCGCACAAGUAGAGUGAUCGAAAGAUGAAAAGCACUUUGAAAAGAGGGUUAAAUAGUACGUGAAAUUGUUGAAAGGGAAGGGUUUAUGACCAGACCUUUGCGUUGGGAAUCAUCCGGUGUUCUCACCGGUGCACUUCCCUUCGUUGAGGCCAGCAUCAGUUUUGGUUGGGGGAUAAAGACUUUAGGAAUGUGAUUCCCCCGGGAAUGUUAUAGCCUUUUGUGUAAUACCCUGACCGGGACUGAGGACCGCGCUUCGGCUAGGAUGCUGGCAUAAUGGUCAUCAGCCACCCGUCUUGAAACACGGACCAAGGAGUCGAACAUUUAUGCGAGUGUUUGGGUGUUAAACCCUCACGCGUAAUUAAAGUGAACGGAGGUGAGAGCCCUUACGGGUGCAUCAUCGACCGAUCCUGAUGUCUUCGGAUGGAUUUGAGUAAGAGCAUAACUGUUCGGACCCGAAAGAUGGUGAACUAUGCGUGGAUAGGGUGAAGCCAGAGGAAACUCUGGUGGAGGCUCGCAGCGGUUCUGACGUGCAAAUCGAUCGUCAAAUCUGCGCAUGGGGGCGAAA
rnacentral:rRNA from 1 species